rnacentral:rRNA from 1 species
UACGUAGGGGGCAAGCGUUGUCCGGAUUUAUUGGGCGUAAAGAGCGUGUAGGCGGCUGUACAGGUCAGCUGUGAAAACUCGAGGCUCAACCUCGAGACGUCGGUUGAAACCGUACGGCUAGAGUCCGGAAGAGGAGAGUGGAAUUCCCGGUGUAGCGGUGAAAUGCGCAGAUAUCGGGAAGAACACCCGUGGCGAAGGCGGCUCUCUGGGACGGUACUGACGCUGAGACGCGAAAGCGUGGGGAGCAAACAAG